rnacentral:rRNA from 1 species
UGCUGGAGGUAUCAGAAGUGCGAAUGCUGACAUAAGUAACGAUAAAGCGGGUGAAAAGCCCGCUCGCCGGAAGACCAAGGGUUCCUGUCCAACGUUAAUCGGGGCAGGGUGAGUCGACCCCUAAGGCGAGGCCGAAAGGCGUAGUCGAUGGGAAACGGGUUAAUAUUCCCGUACUUGGUGUUACUGCGAAGGGGGGACGGAGAAGGCUAUGUUGGCCGGGCGACGGUUGUCCCGGUUUAAGCGUGUAGGUAUGUGUUCCAGGUAAAUCCGGUUCACUUUAACACUGAGGCGUGACGACGAGGCACUACGGUGCUGAAGCAACAAAUGCCCUGCUUCCAGGAAAAGCCUCUAAGCAUCAGGUAACAUCAAAUCGUACCCCAAACCGACACAGGUGGUCAGGUAGAGAAUACCAAGGCGCUUGAGAGAACUCGGGUGAAGGAACUAGGCAAAAUGGUGCCGUAACUUCGGGAGAAGGCACGCUGACACGUAGGUGAAGUGAUUUACUCACGGAGCUGAAGUCAGUCGAAGAUACCAGCUGGCUGCAACUGUUUAUUAAAAACACAGCACUGUGCAAACACGAAAGUGGACGUAUACGGUGUGACGCCUGCCCGGUGCCGGAAGGUUAAUUGAUGGGGUCAGCGCAAGCGAAGCUCCUGAUCGAAGCCCCGGUAAACGGCGGCCGUAACUAUAACGGUCCUAAGGUAGCGAAAUUCCUUGUCGGGUAAGUUCCGACCUGCACGAAUGGCGUAAUGAUGGCCAGGCUGUCUCCACCCGAGACUCAGUGAAAUUGAACUCGCUGUGAAGAUGCAGUGUACCCGCGGCAAGACGGAAAGACCCCGUGAACCUUUACUAUAGCUUGACACUGAACAUUGAGCCUUGAUGUGUAGGAUAGGUGGGAGGCUUUGAAGUGUGGACGCCAGUCUGCAUGGAGCCGACCUUGAAAUACCACCCUUUAAUGUUUGAUGUUCUAACGUGGACCCGUGAUCCGGGUUGCGGACAGUGUCUGGUGGGUAGUUUGACUGGGGCGGUCUCCUCCUAAAGAGUAACGGAGGAGCACGAAGGUUGGCUAAUCCUGGUCGGACAUCAGGAGGUUAGUGCAAUGGCAUAAGCCAGCUUGACUGCGAGCGUGACGGCGCGAGCAGGUGCGAAAGCAGGUCAUAGUGAUCCGGUGGUUCUGAAUGGAAGGGCCAUCGCUCAACGGAUAAAAGGUACUCCGGGGAUAACAGGCUGAUACCGCCCAAGAGUUCAUAUCGACGGCGGUGUUUGGCACCUCGAUGUCGGCUCAUCACAUCCUGGGGCUGAAGUAGGUCCCAAGGGUAUGGCUGUUCGCCAUUUAAAGUGGUACGCGAGCUGGGUUUAGAACGUCGUGAGACAGUUCGGUCCCUAUCUGCCGUGGGCGCUGGAGAACUGAGGGGGGCUGCUCCUAGUACGAGAGGACCGGAGUGGACGCAUCACUGGUGUUCGGGUUGUCAUGCCAAUGGCACUGCCCGGUAGCUAAAUGCGGAAGAGAUAAGUGCUGAAAGCAUCUAAGCACGAAACUUGCCCCGAGAUGAGUUCU